rnacentral:rRNA from 1 species
AGAGUUUGAUCCUGGCUCAGGAUGAACGCUAGCGGCAGGCUUAAUACAUGCAAGUCGAGGGGCAGCACGUGUAGCAAUACAUGGUGGCGACCGGCGCACGGGUGCGUAACACGUAUGCAACCUACUUACUAUUGAGGGAUAGCCUUCUGAAAGGAAGAUUAAUACCUCAUAAUAUUUUUCUUAGGCCUCUAAGGAUUCUUAAAGAUUUAUCGAUAGUAAAUGGGCAUGCGUCUGAUUAGCUAGUUGGCGGGGUAAUGGCCCACCAAGGCGACGAUCAGUAGGGGAUCUGAGAGGAUGACCCCCCACACGGGUACUGAGACACGGACCCGACUCCUACGGGAGGCAGCAGUAAGGAAUAUUGGUCAAUGGAGGGAACUCUGAACCAGCCAUGCCGCGUGCAGGAAGACGGCCCUAUGGGUUGUAAACUGCUUUUGCAAGGGAAUAAACCUGGUUAUGCGUAACCAGCUGAAUGUACUUUGCGAAUAAGGAUCGGCUAACUCCGUGCCAGCAGCCGCGGUAAUACGGAGGAUCCGAGCGUUACCCGGAUUUAUUGGGUUUAAAGGGUGCGUAGGCGGUUUUUUAAGUCAGUGGUGAAAGUCAGCAGCUUAACUGUUGAAUUGCCAUCGAUACUGAAGGACUUGAGUACAGAUGAAGUGGGCGGAAUGAGUCAAGUAGCGGUGAAAUGCAUAGAUAUGACUCAGAACACCGAUUGCGAAGGCAGCUCACUAAGGUGUAACUGACGCUGAGGCACGAAAGCGUGGGGAUCAAACAGGAUUAGAUACCCUGGUAGUCCACGCCCUAAACGAUGAUUACUCGAUGUCGGCGAUAUAUGGUCGGCGUCUAAGCGAAAGCGCUAAGUAAUCCACCUGGGGAGUACGAUCGCAAGGUUGAAACUCAAAGGAAUUGACGGGGGCCCGCACAAGCGGAGGAGCAUGUGGUUUAAUUCGAUGAUACGCGAGGAACCUUACCCGGGCUUGAAAGUUAGUGAAGGAUUUAGAGAUAGAUCCGUGAGCAAUCACACGAAACUAGGUGCUGCAUGGCUGUCGUCAGCUCGUGCCGUGAGGUGUUGGGUUAAGUCCCGCAACGAGCGCAACCCCUGUGAAUAGUUGCCAGCACGUUAAGGUGGGGACUCUAUUCAGACUGCCUACGCAAGUAGUGAGGAAGGAGGGGAUGACGUCAAGUCAUCAUGGCCCUUACGUCCGGGGCGACACACGUGCUACAAUGGCCGGUACAAAGGGCAGCUACUAGGUAACUAGAUGCUAAUCUUCAAAGCCGGUCUCAGUUCGGAUUGAGGUCUGCAACUCGACCUCAUGAAGUUGGAUUCGCUAGUAAUCGCAUAUCAGCCAUGAUGCGGUGAAUACGUUCCCGGGCCUUGUACACACCGCCC